CAGAGUUGCAAAACUCCCACAAACCAUCGCGAAUCUUACCCGUACGGUUGCCUCGGCGCUGGCGGUCCGGAAGGCCCUCGGGCCCCCGGAUCCUCGGGUCUCCCGCUCGCGGGAGGCUGCCCGCCGGAGUGCCGAAACCAAACUCUUGAUAUUUUAUGUCUCUCUGAGUAAACUUUUAAAUAAGUCA
rnacentral:misc_RNA from 1 species